rnacentral:rRNA from 1 species
CCUACGGGAGACAGCAGUGAGGAAUAUUGGUCAAUGGACGCAAGUCUGAACCAGCCAAGUAGCGUGCAGGAUGACGGCCCUAUGGGUUGUAAACUUCUUUUAUAUGGGGAUAAAAUGUUCCACGUGUGGGCUUUUGUAUGUACCAUAUGAAUAAGGAUCGGCUAACUCCGUUCCAGCAGCCGCGGUAAUACGGAGGGUCCGGGCGUUAAUCGGAUUUAUUGGGGUUAAAGGGAGCGUAGGUGGAUUGUUAAGUCAGUUGUGAAAGUUUGCGGCUCAACCGUAAAAUUGCAGUGGAAACUGGCAGUCUUGAGUACAGUAGAGGUGGGCGGAAUUCGUGGUGUAGCGGUGAAAUGCUUAGAUAGCACGAAGAACACCGAUUGCGAAGGCAGCUCACUGGACUGCAACUGACACUGAGGCUCGAAAGUGUGGGUAUCAAACAGGAUUAGAUACCCCUGUAGUC